rnacentral:rRNA from 1 species
CGAGCGGCGAACGGGUGAGUAACACGUGGGUGAUCUGCCUCGCACUCUGGGAUAAGCCUGGGAAACUGGGUCUAAUACCGGAUAUGACCACGAAUCGCAUGGUUUGUGGUGGAAAGGUUUACUGGUGCGAGAUGGGCCCGCGGCCUAUCAGCUUGUUGGUGGGGUAACGGCCUACCAAGGCGACGACGGGUAGCCGGCCUGAGAGGGCGACCGGCCACACUGGGACUGAGACACGGCCCAGACUCCUACGGGAGGCAGCAGUGGGGAAUAUUGCACAAUGGGCGAAAGCCUGAUGCAGCGACGCCGCGUGAGGGAUGACGGCCUUCGGGUUGUAAACCUCUUUCGACAGGGACGAAGCGCAAGUGACGGUACCUGUAGAAGAAGCACCGGCCAACUACGUGCCAGCAGCCGCGGUAAUACGUAGGGUGCGAGCGUUGUCCGGAAUUACUGGGCGUAAAGAGCUUGUAGGCGGUCUGUCGCGUCGAUCGUGAAAACGUGCAGCUCAACUGCGCGCCUGCGGUCGAUACGGGCAGACUAGAGUACUUCAGGGGAGACUGGAAUUCCUGGUGUAGCGGUGAAAUGCGCAGAUAUCAGGAGGAACACCGGUGGCGAAGGCGGGUCUCUGGGAAGUAACUGACGCUGAGAAGCGAAAGCGUGGGUAGCGAACAGGAUUAGAUACCCUGGUAGUCCACGCCGUAAACGGUGGGUACUAGGUGUGGGUUUCCUUCCACGGGAUCCGUGCCGUAGCUAACGCAUUAAG